CAGGCAGCCGCGGAGCCGCGCGAAGGCAGCGCGCAGAAGGCCGCAGAAAUCAGGGCUUUGGCUUCACCCUGCCUUUCGGGCCGUUUAAAGAGACCCGGAGGAGGCUCUUGCGAACACGUCCAGGAGUCAAAAUGUACGAAAGACAGUAUUGCUGCAUAAAGUAUACGAAUCCUUUUAGUAGGCUGGCAGCAUGCCACAUGCUCGCAUAAUUUCUCUCUUAUUCCUGCCUGGGAAUGGAUGACUGGGCAUUUGUACCCUGCUUGUGAAAGGAGAAAGUUUCUCUUCAGGCCCGGGCAGGGAGCUGGCAUCCGAUGUUCGUGUUUCCCUGUGUUGUUUUGCCAAUGCCAUCAAUCUACACCACCCUUUUUAAGAGCGAAAGGCAAUCUGAGAACAGUAGGGUAGCUACCUUAAAUCAAAAUAAACAAACAAUGGCAGAUUAAACCUGUAGCACGAACCCCAUUUGCUCCAGCCCUUACUGUAAGCAGCAUAUCUUUAGGAUAACCUGUCAAAAGGGGUCCUAGCGAAGAAGGGUGCUUGGAUUUAGGGAGGGGGUGCCUGUUUUCUGAAUAACGCCCCUGUUCUGGGAGUGAAAGAGCGGUGGGGUCUAGCACAGGCGGCCAGGACAAGUGCUGAUAUGGAAAAGCUGUUCCACCAUCCCUUGGAUGUGAAGGCUACACCCAGCUGGGAAGUGCUUCACACACUUCUGGGCAGGUCGAGCAGAAGAAGCAGUUGUUCUGGAACUGGGCCAAUAAAAGGAAAUGCCAAGUCCUGCACCUUGGGAGGAAUUAUCCCUGCACCAGUAUGAGGAGGCAGAACAUCUGGAAAGUAGAUUUUCAGCAAAAACUCUGGGACUCAUGGUGGACACCAAAUUGAACAUAAGCUAGCAGUGUGCUCUUACACCAAAGAAGGCUGAUGCUAUCCUGGGCUGCAUUAGGAAGAGCAUCAUCAACAGGAGGAGAAAGGUGAUUCUUCCUCUCUGCUCAGCCCUGGAGAGACUAUCUGGAGUGCAGGGUCCAGAUCUGGACUUCCCAGUACAAGAAAGGCAUGGACAUAUUGGAGUGAGCCCAGCAAAGGGCCAUGAAGAUGACUAAGGGAUUGGAGCAUCUGACAUAUAAGGAGAGCCCAACAGAGCUGGAAUUGUUUAGUCUGGAGAAGGCUCAGGGGGGAUUUUAUAAAUGUGUAUAAAUAUCUGAUGGGAGAGUGUAACCAAGAUGAAGCCAGAUUCUUCUCAGCGGUGCCCAGUGACAGGAUGAGAGGCAACAGGCACAGACUGGUAUACAGGAAAUUUUACUUGAACAUAAGUAAAAACGUUUUCACUGUGAGUGUGAUCAAACAUUGAAACAAGUUGUCCAGAGAGAUUGUGGAAUUUCCAUCCUUGGAGUUAUCUAAAACCCAGCUGCACAAGGCCCUGAGCAACCUGCCAUGGGUGAUUCUGCUUCCAACAUGGUUGUUGGACCAGAUGAUCUCCAAAGGUGCCUUCCAACCUCAGCAAUUCUGUAAUUCUGUGAUUUAUUCAGCUAACCCUUUUGCUCUUGCAAGAGGCACUUGCAUAUGAGUGCUACUUCGGGGUUUUGCUGUCUAUUGCUGUAACAGCAAGAGUACUCUUUAGUGGAACUGAUUCUUUAGUGGAACUGAUAAAAAAUCAUAUCUAUAUGACUGAAACCCAAUAAAUUCUUUUUGA